CCCGCCCCGCCCCGCCCUCUGAUUGGCUAGCAUCUUUCCGCGCCUUUUGGAAGCGUGAUGACUUAGGCCUUUGUCUGCAGUGGCUCUGGGCGCGGCCGGCGGCUUCCUGAGGAGCCAGCCCGGCCCGGAGACUGCUAGCCAACGCGUGAGGGAGAUGAGUCGUCGGGGAGGCCCCUUGCCGAGUCCACCUGUUGGGAUCAACUCAUUUCUCUCCCUGCCCUUUCACGGGCCUUAGACCCUCAAACUUCCGAGACUCGACCUCCCUUUCCAGAGUCCCAGCCGCCUCCGACCACGAGGAGGAGUGGUGGUCAGCUUCUGUUGUUUUGGUCAUAACAAAAGUGCCAUCAGCCGAGUCCUUUGUAAACAGAAGUGUGUUUCCCACGGUUCUGGAGGCUCGGAAGUCCACGAGGAAGAUGUCCCAAUCUCAUUCCUGCGGGGAGCUUUCCUGACUAAUCACCUCCCAACACGUGUACAUCAUUUGAGGAGCCCCCCCAUGUAAUGCUUUCCUGUCAAGAUGUUGAGCAUUGCUGUCACCAGGAA